CUACCCGGUGGUCCGGGCCGCUCUGCGAAGGAAGGGCUGGGUAGAGAAGAAGUUCCACUUUUUGCCCAAGGUCAUUCCGGAUGUCGAGGAUGAAGGCGCCCGGGUCAAUGAUGAUACAUGUGCCAAAGUCAAAGAAAAUCAAGAAAUGGCUUUGGAGAAAACAGACAACAUCCACGACGUGAUGGUUGGUAAAAAAUGAGAUGCCGUACCUCCUCUGGACCAUCAAGAGGGACAUCAUUGACUAUCACAGCCUGACCUACGACCAGAUGCUGAACCACUACGCAAAGACAGCCUCCUUCACCACCAAG
rnacentral:lncRNA from 1 species